rnacentral:rRNA from 1 species
GAUGAACGCUGGCGGCGUGCCUAAUACAUGCAAGUCGAGCGAACAGACGAGGAGCUUGCUCCUCUGACGUUAGCGGCGGACGGGUGAGUAACACGUGGAUAACCUACCUAUAAGACUGGGAUAACUUCGGGAAACCGGAGCUAAUACCGGAUAAUAUAUUGAACCGCAUGGUUCAAUAGUGAAAGACGGUUUUGCUGUCACUUAUAGAUGGAUCCGCGCCGCAUUAGCUAGUUGGUAAGGUAACGGCUUACCAAGGCAACGAUGCGUAGCCGACCUGAGAGGGUGAUCGGACACACGGGAACUGAGACACGGUCCAGACUCCGACGGGAGGCAGCAGUAGGGAAUCUUCCGCAAUGGGCGAAAGCUUGACGGAGCAACGCCGCGUGAGUGAUGAAGGUCUUCGGAUCGUAAAACUCUGUUAUUAGGGAAGAACAAAUGUGUAAGUAACUAUGCACGUCUUGACGGUACCUAAUCAGAAAGCCACGGCUAACUACGUG